GAUGAACGCUGGCGGCGUGCUUAACACAUGCAAGUCGAACGGAAAGGCCCAAGCUUGCUUGGGUACUCGAGUGGCGAACGGGUGAGUAACACGUGGGUGAUCUGCCCUGCACUUCGGGAUAAGCCUGGGAAACUGGGUCUAAUACCGGAUAGGACCACUUCUUGGAUUUUGUGGUGGAAAGUUUUUUCGGUUUGGGAUGAGCUCGCGGCCUAUCAGCUUGUUGGUGGGGUAUUGGCCUAACAAGGCGUCGACGGGUAGCCGGCCUGAGAUGGUGUACGGCCAAAUUGGGAAUGAGAUACGGCCCAGACGCCUACGGGAGGCAGAAGUGGGGAAUAUUGCACAAUGGGCGCAAGCCUGAUGCAGCGACGCCGCGUGGGGGAUGACGGCCUUCGGGUUGUAAACUCCUUUCGCUAGGGACGAAGCGUUUUGUGACGGUACCUGGAGAAGAAGCACCGGCUAACUACGUG
rnacentral:rRNA from 1 species